GACGAACGCUGGCGGCGUGCCUAAUACAUGCAAGUAGAACGCUGAAACUUGGUGCUUGCACCGAGCGGAUGAGUUGCGAACGGGUGAGUAACGCGUAGGUAACCUGCCUGGUAGCGGGGGAUAACUAUUGGAAACGAUAGCUAAUACCGCAUAAGAGUAGAUGUUGCAUGACAUUUGCUUAAAAGGUGCAAUUGCACCACUACCAGAUGGACCUGCGUAGUAUUAGCUAGUUGGUGGGGUAACGGCUCACCAAGGCGACGAUACAUAGCCGACCUGAGAGGGUGAUCGGCCACACUGGGACUGAGACACGGCCCAGACUCCUACGGGAGGCAGCAGUAGGGAAUCUUCGGCAAUGGACGGAAGUCUGACCGAGCAACGCCGCGUGAGUGAAGAAGGUUUUCGGAUCGUAAAGCUCUGUUGUAAGAGAAGAACGAGUGUGAGAGUGGAAAGUUCACACUGUGACGGUAUCUUACCAGAAAGGGACGGCUAACUACGUG
rnacentral:rRNA from 1 species